UGAGCAACCUGCCCCUGGCUCUGGGAUAACCCCGGGAAACCGGAGCUAAUACCGGAUACGAGACCGAUUGGCAUCUUUACGGUCUGGAAAGUUUUUCGGCCAGGGAUGGGCUCGCGGCCUAUCAGCUUGUUGGUGGGGUAAUGGCCCACCAAGGCGACGACGGGUAGCCGGCCUGAGAGGGCGACCGGCCACACUGGGACUGAGACACGGCCCAGACUCCUACGGGAGGCA
rnacentral:rRNA from 1 species